rnacentral:sRNA from 1 species
UACGAAUCUACUAUAUUUUUUUUGUCAGUAAAUAUGUAGUUGUAUAUCAUAUCUUAAUGGUAUCAUUUAAAUAUAUUUAGUCUCCUCAGCUUGUAUUUUGUUUACUAUAUGUAGUCUCCUCAGUAAUAUAUUGAUAU